rnacentral:lncRNA from 1 species
GAGGCAAUAAAAAUUGAUGCAAAACUCUUAAACAAUGAUAAAACACAACACUUUUCAAACCCUUUUAAAAUAAAGGGCAUGGACAUUUUUACCUAGGAAUAAUAAUGGCCCGAGAACACAGUUAUUUCGUAGUGCAUUUCUUUUAGACAAUAAAUUCAAAUUAAAAAAAUCGCACCUGCUCUUUCUCAAAAAGAUUUUUACAGUGUAGUGUACUACCAGUGAGACAAAUAAUAUCAAAAUUAUAGAAACUUCUACCAGCUCUAACUCAAAAUAUUGACAAUUCUGUGUUAAGGGGGUGUAAAAUUCAGUUUGACAGCUUCAGACGUGAUAAAAUUUGACCUUUUAGAACUGGACCAAUUCACUACUUAACAUAAAGAUUCAGCACCAAAAUUUGUUUGACAUGUAAUAACAUACCCCUAC